AUAACUAAGCGGUGGAAAAGAAACCAACAGGGAUUUCCCCAGUAACGGCGAGUGAAGCGGAAAACGAAGCCCAGCGCCGAAUCCUCCGCGACUAACGUCCGGCAGGAACUGUGGCGUGAGGGACAAUAGCCAGUAGACGGAACGAACGCUCGAGUCCCCCCGAGCGGGGCCCAUCCCAUAGCGGGUGCCAGGCCUCUGCCAGCGUUUCGAUCGGUUUACCGCUGUUGUCCCCCGAGUCGGGUUGUUUGGGAAUGCAGCCCGAAGCGGGAGGUAAACUCCUCCUAAGGCUUAAUACUGGCGCGAGGCCGAUAGCGGACAAGUACCGCGAGGGAAAGUU
rnacentral:rRNA from 1 species